UGGGGAAUAUUGGACAAUGGGCGAAAGCCUGAUCCAGCAAUACCGCGUGGGUGAUGAAGGUCUUCGGAUUGUAAAGCCCUUUUAGUGGAGAAGAUAAUGACGGUAUCCACAGAAAAAGCACCGGCAAACUUCGUGCCAGCAGCCGCGGUAAUACGAAGGGUGCUAGCGUUGUUCGGAAUCAUUGGGCGUAAAGCGUACGUAGGCGGUUUAGUAAGUCGAUUGUGAAAGCCCCGGGCUCAACUCGGGAACUGCAAUCGAUACUGCUUUACUGGAAUUUGGUCGGGGAUAGCGGAAUUCCUAGUGUAGGGGUGAAAUCCGUAGAUAUUAGGAGGAAUAUCGGUGGCGAAAGCGGCUAUCUAGGCCAAUAUUGACGCUAAGGUACGAAAGCGUGGGGAGCAAA
rnacentral:rRNA from 1 species